rnacentral:rRNA from 1 species
UACAGAGGUCCCAAGCGUUGUUCGGAUUCAUUGGGCGUAAAGGGUGCGUAGGCGGCGCGGUAAGUCGGGUGUGAAAUCUCGGGGCUUAACUCCGAAACUGCAUUCGAUACUGCCGUGCUUGAGGACCGGAGAGGAGACUGGAAUUUACGGUGUAGCGGUGAAAUGCGUAGAUAUCGUAAGGAAGACCAGUGGCGAAGGCGGGUCUCUGGACAGUUCCUGACGCUGAAGCACGAAGGCCAGGGGAGCAAACGGG